rnacentral:rRNA from 1 species
GACGAACGCUGGCGGCGUGCUUAACACAUGCAAGUCGAACGCUGAAGCUCAGCUUUUGUUGGGUGGAUGAGUGGCGAACGGGUGAGUAACACGUGAGUAACCUGCCCCCUUCUUUGGGAUAACGCCCGGAAACGGGUGCUAAUACUGGAUAUUCACUGGUCUUCGCAUGGGGGUUGGUGGAAAGGGUUUUUCUGGUGGGGGAUGGGCUCGCUGCCUAUCAGCUUGUUGGUGGGGUGAUGGCCUACCAAGGCUUUGACGGGUAGCCGGCCUGAGAUGGUGACCGGUCACAUUGGGACUGAGAUACGGCCCAGACUCCUACGGGAGGCAGACGUGGGGAAUAUUGCACAAUGGGCGCAAGCCUGAUGCAGCGACGCCGCGUGAGGGAUGGAGGCCUUCGGGUUGUGAACCUCCUUCGCUCAUGGUCAAGCCGCAACAAUGGUUGUGGUGAGGGUAGUGGGUAAAGAAGCGCCGGCUAACUACGUG